rnacentral:rRNA from 1 species
CCUACGGGAGGCAGCAGUGGGGAAUUUUCCGCAAUGGGCGAAAGCCUGACGGAGCAAUACCGCGUGAGGGAGGAAGGCUCUUGGGUUGUAAACCUCUUUUAUCAGGGAAGAAAAAAAUGACGGUACCUGAUGAAUAAGCAUCGGCUAACUCCGUGCCAGCAGCCGCGGUAAUACGGAGGAUGCAAGCGUUAUCCGGAAUGAUUGGGCGUAAAGCGUCCGCAGGUGGCGAUGUAAGUCUGCUGUUAAAGAGUUUGGCUCAACCAAAUAAAGGCGGUGGAAACUACAUAGCUAGAGUACGUUCGGGGCAGAGGGAAUUCCUGGUGUAGCGGUGAAAUGCGUAGAGAUCAGGAAGAACACCGGUGGCGAAAGCGCUCUGCUAGGCCGUAACUGACACUGAGGGACGAAAGCUAGGGGAGCGAAUGGGAUUAGAUACCCCAGUAGUCCUAGCCGUAAACGAUGGAUACUAGGCGUUGUCUGUAUCGACCCGGACAGUGCCGUAGCUAACGCGUUAAGUAUCCCGCCUGGGGAGUACGCACGCAAGUGUGAAACUCAAAUGAAUUGACGG